rnacentral:rRNA from 1 species
GAUGAACGCUAGCGGCAGGCUUAAUACAUGCAAGUCGAGGGGCAGCAUGACCGUAGCAAUACGGUUGAUGGCGACCGGCAAACGGGUGCGGAACACGUACACAACCUUCCUUCGAGCGGGGAAUAGCCCGGGGAAACCCGGAUUAAUACCCCAUAGUAUAUUGAAGAGGCAUCUCUUUACUAUUAAAGAUUUAUCACUUGAAGAUGGGUGUGCGGCUGAUUAGCUAGNGGUGAGGUAAUGGCUCACCAAGGCGACGACGGGUAGCUGGUCUGAGAGGACGACCAGCCACACUGGAACUGAGACACGGUCCAGACACCUACGGGUGGCAGCAGUCGAGAAUCUUUCACAAUGGGGGCAACCUGAUGGAGCGACGCCGCGUGGAGGUUAAGGUCUUCGGAUUGUAAACUCCUGUCAUGCGAGAACAAAGCCCGCAAGGGUGUGAUAGUACCGCAAGAGGAAGAGACGGCUAACUCUGUGCCAGCAG